rnacentral:rRNA from 1 species
CGUAGGUAAUCUACCUUCGGGUGGGGAAUAACCCAGGGAAACUUGGGUUAAUACCGCAUAAUGCAGCGGCACCACAUGGUGACAGUUGUUAAAGCGGGGGAUUUUCGGACCUCGCGCCUGAAGAGGAGCCUGCGGCGGAUUAGCUUGUUGGUAAGGUAACGGCUUACCAAGGCGACGAUCCGUAGCCGGCCUGAGAGGGCGGUCGGCCACACUGACACUGACAUACGGGUCAGACUCCUACGGGAGGCAGCAGUCGGGAAUUUUGGGCAAUGGGCGAAAGCCUGACCCAGCAACGCCGCGUGAAGGAUGAAAUCCCUCGGGAUGUAAACUUCGCAAGAAUGGGAAGAAUUAGCGAGCGCUAACACCGUUCGUGAUGACGGUACCAUUUGUAAGCUCCGGCUAACUCCGUGCCAGCAGCCGCGGUAAUACGGGGGGAGCAAGCGUUGUUCGGAUUUACUGGGCGUAAAGGGCGCGUAGGCGGCCAGCGCAAGUCAGUUGUGAAAUCUCCGGGCUUAACUCGGAACGGUCAACUGAUACUGCGCGGCUAGAGUGCGGAAGGGGCAACUGGAAUUCUCGGUGUAGCGGUGAAAUGCGUAGAUAUCGAGAGGAACACCUGCGGC